CACUAUAUUUGGUGUGUCACUGUA
rnacentral:siRNA from 1 species